UACGGAGGAUGCGAGCGUUAUCCGGAUUUAUUGGGUUUAAAGGGUGCGUAGGCGGUCCGUUAAGUCAGCGGUAAAAUUGCGGGGCUCAACCCCGUCGGGCCGUUGAAACUGGCAGACUUGAGUUGGCGAGAAGUACGCGGAAUGCGCGGUGUAGCGGUGAAAUGCAUAGAUAUCGCGCAGAACUCCGAUUGCGAAGGCAGCGUACCGGCGCCAGACUGACGCUGAGGCACGAAAGCGUGGGGAUCGAACAGG
rnacentral:rRNA from 1 species